AAAGUCGUAACAAGGUCUCCGUUGGUGAACCAGCGGAGGGAUCAUUACUGAGUGUAAAAACUCCCAAACCCCUGUGAACAUACCGUCCGUUGCUUCGGCGGGAUCGCCCCGGGCGCCUUUGCGUGCCCCGGAUCCAGGCGCCCGCCGGAGAACUCUCCAAACUCUUGUUUUUAUAUGUGGCAUUAUCUGAGUGGCUUUAUGGCAAAUAAAUCAAAACUUUCAACAAUGGAUCUCUUGGCUCUG
rnacentral:misc_RNA from 1 species